rnacentral:rRNA from 1 species
AUUGAACGCUGGCGGCAUGCCUAACACAUGCAAGUCGAACGGCAGCACAGUGAAGCUUUCUUCUUGGGGGUCGAGUGUGGCAGGGGGGAGUAGUAUAUCGGGGCAUAUACAGUUUCGGGGGGUAACUAAUCGGGAGAUUAACUAAUAUCCCACAUUCGCUGAGGGGGAAAACGGGGGGCCUUCUGGCCUUGCGUUAGACUGACUGCGCCGAUGUGGGAUUAGCUAGUUGGGGGGGUAAAGGCCCACCAAGGCGACGAUCCGUAGCUGGUCUGAGAGGAUGAUCCGCCACACUGGAACUGAGACACGGCCCAGACUCCUACGGGAGGCAGCAGUGGGGAAUUUUGGACAAUGGGCGCAAGCCUGAUCCAGCCAUACCGCGUGUCUGAAGAAGGCCUUCGGGUUGUAAAGCCCUUUUGUCGGGAAAGAAAAGCCUGUGGCUAAUACCCAGAGCUUAUGACGGUACCUAAAGAAUAAGCACCGGCUAACUACGUG